UACGUAGGGGGCUAGCGUUGUCCGGAAUCAUUGGGCGUAAAGCGCGUGUAGGCGGCUCGAUAAGUCUGCUGUGAAAGUCCAGGGCUCAACCCUGGGAUGCCGGUGGAUACUGUCGAGCUCGAGUCCGGAAGAGGCGAGUGGAAUUCCUGGUGUAGCGGUGAAAUGCGCAGAUAUCAGGAGGAACACCAAUGGCGAAGGCGGGUCUCUGGGCCGAUGACUGACGCUGACGGAGCGAAAGCGUGGGGAGCGAACAGG
rnacentral:rRNA from 1 species